rnacentral:rRNA from 1 species
ACGAACGCUGGCGGCGUGCUUAACACAUGCAAGUCGAGCGGUAAGGCCCUUUCGGGGGUACGACGAGCGGCGAACGGGUGAGUAACACGUGGGUGACCUGCCCUCAGCUCUGGGAUAAGCCUGGGAAACUGGGUCUAAUACUGGAUAUGACUCCACGGUGCAUGUCGUGGGGUGGAAAGCCUUGUGCGGCUGAGGAUGGGCCCGCGGCCUAUCAGCUUGUUGGUGGGGUGANGGCCUACCAAGGCGACGACGGGUA